UACGUAGGGUGCAAGCGUUGUCCGGAAUUAUUGGGCGUAAAGAGCUCGUAGGCGGUCUGUCGCGUCUGCUGUGAAAACCUAGGGCUUAACUCUGGGCGUGCAGUGGGUACGGGCAGGCUAGAGUGCGGUAGGGGGAGACUGGAAUUCCUGGUGUAGCGGUGAAAUGCGCAGAUAUCAGGAGGAACACCGAUGGCGAAGGCAGCUCGCUGGGACGGUACUGACGCUGAGGCGCGAAAGCGUGGGGAGCAAACAGG
rnacentral:rRNA from 1 species